UUGUGACAUAGUUUUUUCCAGAGUCCAAAAGGUACAGAGAGAAACAGGCCUGGUUUCAGGGGCAGGGAAGGGAGAGGAGGAGGAAGAGGAGGACGGGAGGAAGAAGAGAGGCUCGGAGGGUGGGAAUGGGGUCCAGGGUUAUCACCAAAGAGAAAACAUUCUUGGGAGCUGACAACACUGAUGUCUCGAGCAGAAAAACAAUGCUCUGCAACACCCCUGCUGCAUUCCUUCAGUCCAGCAGAGGGUAUAGAAGUAAACGUCCAAGGGCACGGGGGUGACAGGGAGAGGGAGAGAAAAGGAGAGGGGAUGGCUGGUGUUUCCCCAGAGCGGGGAUUCUCAAACACCAGUGAUCUGACCCCUCCGAGGACACGUGGCAACGUCUGGAGGCAAUUUUUGGCUGUCACAACUGUGGCGUGAGCGGGGAGGAAGAGUUCCUGCUACUGGCGUGUGGUCACCGAGGUCGGGGACGCUGCGGCACAUCCCCCCCACCCCACGCAAUUACCCAGCCCCGAAGAUCCGUCCUUUGCAAACGCCCCAGAAGAGCUCGCUUCGGAGGUGGAACCAAUGGAAGAGUGACAGAGGCCCAGCAACACGGCGGGAUUGGCGCGCGGACGCGAGCACGUGACGGGCUGAGCUCACAAAGGGCCUGGGGUGUUGGGCUGCUGGGGGCGGGGUGGGCGGUGCUGGUGGGACUGGUGCCCGUCUGUCUGCCUGCCUUUCCUCCUUCCCCAAAGGAUUUGGUUCCCCUGAAGGUCAUAAGCAUGUUUGGGACUUAACUCAGCAUCAUGAGAAAAUCCAAGAGCACAGCGAUCAGCAAACAUUUCCCCCAAGAGAGAGGAUGAGAUCAAGGGCUGGCUGGGAACCGUUUGCCUUGCUUUGUCAUUGUCAUGUCAUAGGUAACCAUAAAAGGUAA